CGCUAGCUACAGGCUUAACACAUGCAAGUCGAGGGGCAUCAGGAAGAAAGCUUGCUUUCUUUGCCGGCGACCGGCGCACGGGUGAGUAACACGUAUCCAACCUGCCCUUUACUCGGGGAUAGCCUUUCGAAAGAAAGAUUAAUACCCGAUAGUAUAAUGAUUCCGCAUGGUUUCAUUAUUAAAGGAUUCCGGUAAAGGAUGGGGAUGCGUUCCAUUAGGUUGUUGGUGAGGUAACGGCUCACCAAGCCUUCGAUGGAUAGGGGUUCUGAGAGGAAGGUCCCCCACAUUGGAACUGAGACACGGUCCAAACUCCUACGGGAGGCAGCAGUGAGGAAUAUUGGUCAAUGGGCGCUAGCCUGAACCAGCCAAGUAGCGUGAAGGAUGAAGGCUCUAUGGGUCGUAAACUUCUUUUAUAUAAGAAUAAAGUGCAAUAUGUAUACUGUUUUGUAUGUAUUAUAUGAAUAAGGAUCGGCUAACUCCGUGCCAGCAGCCGCGGUAAUACGGAGGAUCCGAGCGUUAUCCGGAUUUAUUGGGUUUAAAGGGAGCGUACGUGGACUGGUAAGUCAGUUGUGAAAGUUUGCGGCUCAACCGUAAAAUUGCAGUUGAUACUGUCAGUCUUGAGUACAGUAGAGGUGGGCGGAAUUCGUGGUGUAGCGGUGAAAUGCUUAGAUAUCACGAAGAACUCCGAUUGCGAAGGCAGCUCACUGGACUGCAACUGACACUGAUGCUCGAAAGUGUGGGUAUCAAACAGGAUUAGAUACCCUGGUAGUCCACACAAUAAACGAUGAAUACUCGCUGUUUGCGAUAUACAGUAAGCGGCCAAGCGAAAGCAUUAAGUAUUCCACCUGGGGAGUACGCCGGCAACGGUGAAACUCAAAGGAAUUGACGGGGGCCCGCACAAGCGGAGGAACAUGUGGUUUAAUUCGAUGAUACGCGAGGAACCUUACCCGGGCUUAAAUUGCAGUGGAAUGAUGUGGAAACAUGUCAGUGAGCAAUCACCGCUGUGAAGGUGCUGCAUGGUUGUCGUCAGCUCGUGCCGUGAGGUGUCGGCUUAAGUGCCAUAACGAGCGCAACCCUUAUCUUCAGUUACUAACAGGUCAUGCUGAGGACUCUGGAGAGACUGCCGUCGUAAGAUGUGAGGAAGGUGGGGAUGACGUCAAAUCAGCACGGCCCUUACGUCCGGGGCUACACACGUGUUACAAUGGGGGGUACAGAAGGCAGCUAGCGGGUGACCGUAUGCUAAUCCCAAAAUCCUCUCUCAGUUCGGAUCGAAGUCUGCAACCCGACUUCGUGAAGCUGGAUUCGCUAGUAAUCGCGCAUCAGCCACGGCGCGGUGAAUACGUUCCCGGGCCUUGUACACACCGCCCGUCAAGCCAUGGGAGCCGGGGGUACCUGAAGUACGUAACCGCAAGGAUCGUCCUAGGGUAAAACUGGUGAAAA
rnacentral:rRNA from 1 species